rnacentral:rRNA from 1 species
GACGAACGCUGGCGGCGUGCCUAAUACAUGCAAGUAGAACGCUGAAGAGAGGAGCUUGCUCUUCUUGGAUGAGUUGCGAACGGGUGAGUAACGCGUAGGUAACCUGCCUUGUAGCGGGGGAUAACUAUUGGAAACGAUAGCUAAUACCGCAUAACAAUGGAUGACACAUGUCAUUUAUUUGAAAGGGGCAAUUGCUCCACUACAAGAUGGACCUGCGUUGUAUUAGCUAGUAGGUGAGGUAAUGGCCCACCUAGGCGACGAUACAUAGCCGACCUGAGAGGGUGAUCGGCCACACUGGGACUGAGACACGGCCCAGACUCCUACGGGAGGCAGCAGUAGGGAAUCUUCGGCAAUGGGGGCAACCCUGACCGAGCAACGCCGCGUGAGUGAAGAAGAUUUUCGGAUCGUAAAGCUCUGUUGUAAGUCAAGAACGGGUGUGAGAGUGGAAAGUUCACACUGUGACGGUAGCUUACCAGAAAGGGACGGCUAACUACGUG